UAGCUCAGUUGGUAGAUAGAGCAUGGUGUUUGCAACACCAGGGUUGUGGGUUCGAUUCCCAC
rnacentral:tRNA from 1 species